UUUUGUAAACACGCGUCCAGAAAAUACUUCUAAAUCUUACAAAAACACUUGAUACUUUUUAUCGGUAUUCUUUUACGCAGAAAACUUCAAUUAACCAAUACAUAACAUCGUAUAUCCUUUUACUGCAAGCAUUAAAAAGUUACCGAUUAACUGCAUAGCCAUCACGUAUAACCAACCAGGGGGUGGCAACUCUAAUAGGCCAUUAUGUACCCAGAUACUAUUUUUAAUCUGCACAACAGAUAGCGCUAGUAGAUUGACCUAGUUCUUUUGUAAAUUCAUAGGUAGCGUUAGUGUUCAUAAUCAAAUGUCAAUUGAAUGUUUAUAAGAAACUAAAUUUAUGCAAUAAAUACUAAUAAUGCAAUAAAUAUAGUGUAAUAUUAAUUUAUUUUGAUUUCAAAAACAGUUGAUUUGUAAAAAUUGUUUUUUUUUGCAGUAAUAUUCGUUUACAGAUUGAUUUGAGCAUUAUAGUCGCUCUUUUUUUUUCGGUUUGUAGUAGAUUUUGGUCGAGUGAAAGAUGGAUUUUACAAUGGAGUUUGAUUUAUCAUUUUGAAUUAUUUUCCUAUAUGAUUGUGAAUUAAGAAGCCGAUGAAGAUGCCUGUGAAUACACAUCAAUGUUUUGUGUCUUCGUGCAGGAACAGUAUUACUGUUAAUCCUGAUGUGACAACAUUCAGAUUUCCAUGAAGCCGAAGCAAGUUAUUGAAGUGGAUUGCUGCAAUUGGCUAUGACCUUGAUGCCAGUAAUGCUGAAACAUUUAAAACUAAAUAUGUAUGUUCCGAACAUUUUGAUAUUGGAGCUUUCACUACAUGUGACUGCAUCAAAUUGAAUCGUGGUGCUGCUACAACAUAUUUUAAUUCUGUGGACAGUGAAGUAUGGAUCUAUUGUUAUAAUUUAUUAUGUCUAGAAUGCUGCCAAAUAUAGGUGAAAUGUUUAUGUUACAUAACAUAACUUGUAAGAUCUACUUGUGCAGAUAUAUAUUUUCACCUGCCUCUAAGGUCCUUUGUUAUUCACAGGUAGCAUUUACAUGUGAUGAAGCAGUAUUUAACAUUAUUGGUCAACAUGCAGUCCAUCAUUACAACCUUUGUACAGGCGCAUACAAACAUAUAUGUGUGGGGUAUUUCACACUUUUUAUUUGAUGUUAAAGAUUGGUAUGGUGACCGGGAUACUUUUUUUUAUUAAACCUCCUACACAGUUCUCUACUGUUUCCCUUAUCUGUUGCCUUAACAUUUUUUUCCGAUCAGUCCAAUUCCUUGAAUCACAUUGCAAAAAAAGUCACAAUACAUGGGAUUGGGCCACUCUCUUCAAAGAAUUGUAAUUCGAGUUUAAACAUAGCAAGGCUGACCAUAAAUUGUAGAGGAAAAUUUAAAAUGUUGAUCUUCAACAUAUUUAUAACCUAUGCUCAUGUGAUGUAUAUACAGCUAGUUAGAAAGUAAGUUGUAGUAUAGUAUGCAAUUGAACCUUCAAUAAGUUCUACAUCCACACUUAAAAACUUAUUUUACUUGAUGUUUUAUGUUCAAUAACUAUUCAGUAUAAAGGUUUUUUUUUACAUUAUAAACUACAAAAGUAUUCCGAUUUGUAAAUGUAAUGAAAUUCCACUGAGCCCUCUACCUUUUUUUUAACUACCAUUUCUGCCGUGUGGCCUUUUUUUUCUUACUUUUGUGUUCAUUAUAAGUUACAACCACUCAUUUGAUUUAUUGUGUUAAAUUAAAUGAUAUUUAAAAUUGGAUGUCACUUCAUAAGAACAUUCAGGAUUACCUGUAUUCACAGCGCACAAUUAUACAAAAGUUUUUUAUGUAUGUAAAAGUGUUUUACGUAAGCCAGUGGACACAUACAUGUAUUGAGUAACAUGAGAAAAUUGAAAUAUCUAAAAUAAAAUUAAAAGGUUACAAGCUUUUAUAUACAUGCAGCUCCCAAAAAAGUCUGCAUACUAAAAAAUAACACAUGCUUUUAAAUGAAUUCUUACCAUCUUAUAAACUAGUAGUAUUUUGUUAUUUGAUUUCAAAUGAAUUGUUUUUGGUUAAUUUAUUUGACUGUAGGGAUUAAAUAUCAUUUGUAGAAUAAAGUGUGAAAAGUAGUAUUGAUCAAUUUAACUGUAAGUACUAAAUAUGUGUUACAUUUCUUGUAAGUUAAAAUUGUUCAGGUAUUAUAAAUUAGCUGAAAAAAGCAAACUCAUGACUAGAAUAAAUUGUACUGUUAGGUAUGUUUCGAAGAAAGACUACCUGUUGCAGUCGUUACCAUGUGUAUGUACCACAUUUUUAUUGUCAUUAUAACUGCCAUAAUUUUGUACAAAUAAAUCACUUAAUACAUAAAAUAUGGUUAUGGAAAUUC